UACGGGGGGAGCAAGCGUUGUUCGGAUUUACUGGGCGUAAAGGGCGCGUAGGCGGCGCAACAAGUCACUUGUGAAAUCUCCGGGCCUUAACCCGGAGCGGUCAAGUGAUACGUGUGUGCUAGAGUGCGGAAGGGCUACUGGAAUUCUCGGUGUAGCGGUGGAAAUGCUGUAGAAUAUCGAGACGGAACACCUGGCGGCCGAAGGCGGGGUAGCUGGGCCGACACUGACGCUGGAGGCGCGAAAGCUAGGGGAGCGAAACGGG
rnacentral:rRNA from 1 species